UCCUCGCGGUCCAAGUCGCAGCCAUCAUUAUUGGGUCUAAAACAUCCGUAGCUUGCUUUGUAAGUCUCUUGUGAAAUCUGGCAUCUCAAGUGUCAGGCGGGCAAGAGAUACUACUUAGCUAGAGACUGGGAGACGUAAUGAGUAUGAUUGAGGUAGCGGUAAAAUGCGUUAAUCUCAGUCAGACUAACAACAGCGAAGGCACGUUACGAGCACGGUUCUGACAGUGAGGGAUGAAGGCUAGGGGCGCAAAUUGG
rnacentral:rRNA from 1 species